GAGUUCUCAAAGAAAAGGGACCAUUUGCGAAAUAAGUCAUUCUAUGGACCUGUCUAGCAAGGUAGAUGCAUUGUCCCAUAAGAUUGACCAACUGAUGAUAGGAGAACAUGUCGCUAGCUCUUCCCAAGCACAAGUGUGUGCUAUCUAUUCUAGCCCAUCGCAUCCUAUUCAUGAGUGCCCCUCAGCACCCCAAUUUCCCGAACUCGUGCAAGAACACAUCAAUGCUGCUCAAACCCAGCCCAGACCGGGUAAUGACCCAUUUUCAAUACAUAUAACUCGGGAUGGCGGAAUCAUCCAAAUUUUUCUUGGAGGCAGCAAGCUUCUAAUACCUCCCAACCCUUC
rnacentral:lncRNA from 1 species